GCAGUAAAAUUGGAUAUGAUGAAGGCAUAUGACAGGGUUGAGUGGAUUUUCCUUCAACAAAUGCUAGCACGCUUUGGUUUUGACAAUGCUUGGAUUUCCAUGAUAAUGAGGUGUGUGACGUCUACCAAUUUUGUGGUGAAAUUGAAUGGGGGCUUAUCCAGGAUGUUCACUCCAUCACGUGGAUUGCGGCAGGGGGAUCCGUUGUCCCCGUAUCUGUUCUUGUUUUGUGUCGAAGGUUUUUCUGCGCUACUAAAGAAAGCCCAAGAAGAUCAUCAAAUUAAAGGAGUGUCAUUUGGGUACACUGGCCCCCAGAUAACACAUCUCCUAUUUGCUGACGAUAGUAUUGUCUUCCUUCAGGGCUCUGUCGAUAAUUUUCAAGCGCUGAAGGAGAUCUUGGGUGUCUACGAGGAGGCUUCAGGUCAGAAAGUGAAUCUACAAAAAUCUUCGGUUUUCUUUGGCAAUGGAUGUCAGCAGGAGCUCAAGGACUCCCUAAAGGAGACCAUUGGGAUCGGGUCUGAGGCAUUGAGUGAGCGAUAUUUGGGUCUCCCAACGGUCGUUGGGAGGGCAAAGGAUGGAUCAUUUCAAUAUGUUGUGGAGAGCUCAAAGAAAAAAGUUACAUGUUGGAAGGGGCAGGGAUUGUCUAAGAAAGCACGAGAAGUACUUGUCAAAUCGGGGCUCCAAUCUACUCCAACGUUUACCAUGAGUUGUUUUCUCCUCUCAAAGAAGAUGUGUCGGAACCUGACUUCUAUCUCU
rnacentral:rRNA from 1 species